rnacentral:rRNA from 1 species
AUACGGGAGGCAGCAGUGGGGAAUAUUGGACAAUGGGCGCAAGCCUGAUCCAGCCAUGCCGCGUGGGUGAUGAAGGCCCUAGGGUUGUAAAGCCCUUUCAGCGGGGAAGAUAAUGACGGUACCCGCAGAAGAAGCCCCGGCUAACUUCGUGCCAGCAGCCGCGGUAAUACGAAGGGGGCUAGCGUUGCUCGGAAUUACUGGGCGUAAAGCGCACGUAGGCGGCUUUUCAAGUCGGAGGUGAAAUCCUGGAGCUCAACUCCAGAACUGCCUUCGAUACUGGAAAGCUCGAGUCCGGGAGAGGUGAGUGGAACUGCGAGUGUAGAGGUGAAAUUCGUAGAUAUUCGCAAGAACACCAGUGGCGAAGGCGGCUCACUGGCCCGGUACUGACGCUGAGGUGCGAAAGCGUGGGGAGCAAACAGGAUUAGAUACCCCGGUAGG